rnacentral:rRNA from 1 species
UACAGAGGUCUCAAGCGUUGUUCGGAUUCAUUGGGCGUAAAGGGUGUGUAGGUGGCGCGCUAAGUCGGGUGUGAAAUUUCGGAGCUUAACUCCGAAACUGCAUUCGAUACUGGCGUGCUUGAGGACUGGAGAGGAGACUGGAAUUCAUGGUGUAGCAGUGAAAUGCGUAGAGAUCAUGAGGAAGACCAGUGGCGAAGGCGGGGUCUCUGGGACAGUUCCUGACACUGAGACACGAAGGCCAGGGGAGCAAACGGGG